AAAUGACCCCGUAACUUCGGGAGAAGGGGUGCUCUGUUAGGGUGCAAGCCCGAGAGAGCCGCAGUGAAUAGGCCCAGGCGACUGUUUAGCAAAACACAGGUCUCUGCGAAGCCGUAAGGCGAAGUAUAGGGGCUGACGCCUGCCCGGUGCUGGAAGGUUAAGAGGAGCGCUUAGCGUAAGCGAAGGUGCGAAUUGAAGCCCCAGUAAACGGCGGCCGUAACUAUAA
rnacentral:rRNA from 1 species